GGCAAGAUGGCCGAGCGGUCUAAGGCGCCGCAUUCAAGAUUUCCUUAUAGGGGGUUCACUCUCUAUAAUUUAAUAAAUAUAUAUAUAUAUAUAUAUGUAUCGCGGUCUCGCAAGAGGCGGGGGUUCGAAUCCCCCUCUUGUCA
rnacentral:tRNA from 1 species